UGGGGAAUUUUGGACAAUGGGGGAAACCCUGAUCCAGCCAUCCCGCGUGUGCGAUGAAGGCCUUCGGGUUGUAAAGCACUUUUGGCAGGAAAGAAACGUCAUGGGUUAAUACCCCGUGAAACUGACGGUACCUGCAGAAUAAGCACCGGCUAACUACGUGCCAGCAGCCGCGGUAAUACGUAGGGUGCAAGCGUUAAUCGGAAUUACUGGGCGUAAAGCGUGCGCAGGCGGUUCGGAAAGAAAGAUGUGAAAUCCCAGAGCUCAACUUUGGAACUGCAUUUUUAACUACCGGGCUAGAGUGUGUCAGAGGGAGGUGGAAUUCCGCGAGUAGCAGUGAAAUGCGUAGAUAUGCGGAGGAACACCGAUGGCGAAGGCAGCCUCCUGGGAUAACACUGACGCUCAUGCACGAAGGCGUGGGGAGCAAACAGG
rnacentral:rRNA from 1 species